AUCUGGAUGACGAGUCUCAAAUUGGACGAAAUGCGCAUCUUAGAU
rnacentral:hammerhead_ribozyme from 1 species